ACAACAUGGAGAAAGAGGGUCUGAGGAGGAGCCUUGAUCUCUUGAGGGCACACGGUGUGACUUUUGACAGCAUUGUUACAGACCGCCACCCUCAAAUACAAAAAUACCUGCGGGAGGCCAACAUCACACAGUAUUACGAUGUAUGGCACAUUGAAAAAGGUAUUAGCUCCUGUGUGGGUAUGUGUUGUUUAUGUGCCUAAUGACUGUCAUAGUCUCACAGACUGGUUAUAUUAAACAGAUCAGUAAAAUUUGAUUACAAAACAUUAUGAUACAAAAUCAUACCUUUGACCAGAACUUUUUUAUUUUGUGUUCAAUAAACACACUGUAUCUUUCUGCAUGGCUGAAUUAAAGUUUUUUUUUUUUUUUUUAUAUUAUUAGGAGUAUCAAAGAAACUGCUGAGGAUUGCUCAGAACAAAGACAGUGAAAAACUGCAGUGGUAUCGCAGUAUAAAAAACCACAUAUAUUGGACAGCGGCUUCUUCUUCAUCAGGGCCAGAGCGAGUGGCAAAGUGGACGUCAAUUCUUAAUCAUAUCCAAGACAUGCACACACAUGAUGAUCCCGUUUUCCCACGAUGUUUGCAUCCGCAACGCACUACAACGGACAAGAGCAAGUGGUUGAGAGCGGGAACAACUGCCUUCUCUCGAUUAGAGAAGAUCCUCAGAAACAAGAGGAUUCUGAAGGAUGUUGAAAAACUGAGCCCUCACCAUCAGACUUCAUCACUGGAGGCGUUCCACAGCGUAAUUCUGCACUUUGCGCCAAAGAAUGUUGUCUUUUCUUUCCUGGGAAUGUUAUGCAGACUCUACCUGGCAGCCCUACAUUUUAAUGAGAAUGCUGGGCGUCCCCAAGCCACGACAGCAGCUGGAGAGCCACUAUUUAAGGUGGUUUUCCCAAAAUACAAGAAAGGACAAUGCUCUGCUAAGCCAGUGAAAGUAGGACCAACCUUCCAGUACAUGGACAACCUGUUGGAACUUAUCUUUGAGAACAUUGUUGUGGACCCAACCCCUUAUAUGGACGAUAUCCUGAAGAUCUCCAUACCUGAGGAUCUCACGUCCCAGUUUGACAAACCAGACAAACAGGAAGUGAUAGACAGCUACGUGUCUAGGUUUAAUCAAGGGCAGGUCUGAACCCUACAUAUUGUCCCUGAAAAAAAGCUUUUCAUGACCAUUAGCUGUAACAUCAAUCUGUCAAUGAACUAACGUAUACAUCAGUAAACACAUAGCAUUCGUAUCUCACUACGCUACCCUGCCAGUACAUACAAAGAUAGAUCAAAGUGACAUUACGUUAACCAACCAUUCAGAAACUUCCUGUUCGAGCCUUAAUUGGCAAACUUCGUCGGGGCCGUCAUCUUGUUCCGGGUCUGACUCCGGUUCAAAUUGAUAUGGUUGCACUUGCGCAGAUGUGUCCUCAGAGACUCCCGCUGCCAUUCUUUCUCCGAAAUAUACCCUCAGCUGUUGUCAAGGCAACACUCCACGUGUGUUGUGUCAAAACGCCCCACAGAACAGAGGGGUGGGGUGAGCAAAGCUCAUUAUCAUUUAAAGACACAUGCACUGAAAUGGCUUGCUGAAAACAGAGCUGUUUUAGACCAGGUAAAAUGAGUGUUUCUUACAAUACUAAUGAGAAUUUUUAAUUAAAGUAUAUUACAAACUUUUCAUUUAGACCCUGAAGAAUCAUAUUAACUUGUACAAAAAUGGCAUUAUAUGACCCCUUUAAGAACAAAUUUGUGUGCGUUGACACAAGAUUUUUUUUUUUUUUUUUUUUCUCGAAAACGUUUCCUGUGCAUACAAAUAUGAAAUAAUUAAUGCUAUAAUUAAUAAAUGAUAAAUGAAAUAAUCACUGAUAAGCUUUGGCAUGAUAUGUUCUUCAUAAGUGUCAUAGGCUGGUUGCAGAUUAUAACUUUCCAUCUGUGGCUCUUUAUUCUUCUGGAGACUGUUCCUUUGACGUAGUCACAUGCCUCUCAUGACCCUAAACAACCCUUGCAACCACACCAUUAGACAGAACACAUCUGAGAUUUUGAUCUUUGAUGGGUCAGUCAGUUUAUUUAUUUUAUUUCCCCCCUGAAAACUGUAUUCUAAAACUGGCAGAAUUUCUCUCUCCUCUUUGCCCUACCAUGAGAUGCUUAGGUUAACUCUGUGACAGCAUCAAAAAAGCAUCCUUCAUGCCUGGAUAGACUACAACAAGCAAUCAUUCAGUAAAUGUGCCACAGAGAAGGGCGGGAAAAUGUUCACUGGAUUAAGCAGGCAAAAGCAAUGACUGUCAACUGGCAUGUGACAAGUUUGAAAGGAGACUUCGGCUAUGUUUUGACUGCAGGCAAAUCUGAUUUGUUCCCCUCUCAAAUCAGAU